AGAGUUUGAUCCUGGCUCAGGAUGAACGCUAGCGGCAGGCCUAACACAUGCAAGUCGAGGGGUAGAAGCUUUCGGGCUUUGAGACCGGCGCACGGGUGCGUAACGCGUAUGCAAUCUGCCUUACACUAAGGGAUAGCCCAGAGAAAUUUGGAUUAAUACCUUAUAGUAUAUUGAUGUGGCAUCACAUUAUUAUUAAAGAUUUAUUGGUGUAAGAUGAGCAUGCGUCCCAUUAGCUAGUUGGUAUGGUAACGGCAUACCAAGGCAAUGAUGGGUAGGGGUCCUGAGAGGGAGAUCCCCCACACUGGUACUGAGACACGGACCAGACUCCUACGGGAGGCAGCAGUGAGGAAUAUUGGUCAAUGGGCGCAAGCCUGAACCAGCCAUGCCGCGUGCAGGAUGAAGCAUCUAUGGUGUGUAAACUGCUUUUGUACGGGAAGAAACACCUCUUCGUGAAGAGGCUUGACGGUACCGUAAGAAUAAGGAUCGGCUAACUCCGUGCCAGCAGCCGCGGUAAUACGGAGGAUCCAAGCGUUAUCCGGAAUCAUUGGGUUUAAAGGGUCCGUAGGCGGUUUUAUAAGUCAGUGGUGAAAUCCGGCAGCUCAACUGUCGAACUGCCAUUGAUACUGUAGAACUUGAAUUACUGUGAAGUAACUAGAAUAUGUAGUGUAGCGGUGAAAUGCUUAGAUAUUACAUGGAAUACCAAUUGCGAAGGCAGGUUACUAACAUUAUAUUGACGCUGAUGGACGAAAGCGUGGGGAGCGAACAGGAUUAGAUACCCUGGUAGUCCACGCCGUAAACGAUGGAUACUAGCUGUUUGGUUGUAAGACUGAGUGGCUAAGCGAAAGUGAUAAGUAUCCCACCUGGGGAGUACGGGCGCAAGCCUGAAACUCAAAGGAAUUGACGGG
rnacentral:rRNA from 1 species